rnacentral:lncRNA from 1 species
AGUAGAUACUGGUAGAGGCCAGGUGCUUACGUAGCUACAUCAGAACCUCAGGCAGUGCUGCGAUCAUCUACAGGGUAAUUAGAUUACCCUUGAGGUAUGUCUAUAUUUCUCAUACUUUUAGAUUUAAUUUUAGAUUUUAAAUAUUAGAUAAUAAAAUUAGAUCUAAUAGAUAUUAGAUCUAAAAUAAUAUAGGAUAAAAAUUUUUAAUUUAUUCCACCCC